rnacentral:rRNA from 1 species
CACGGGCCCAAAAUCCUUGCAAGUCGAGCGAGGUUCUUCGGAACCUAGCGGCGGACGGGUGAGUAACACGUGGGUAACCUGCCUGUAAGACCGGGAUAACUUCGGGAAACCGAAGCUAAUACCGGAUACUUUCGAGCAUCGCAUGAUGCUUGAUGGAAAGACGGUUUCGGCUGUCACUUACAGAUGGACCCGCGUCGCAUUAGCUAGUUGGUGAGGUAACGGCUCACCAAGGCGACGAUGCGUAGCCGACCUGAGAGGGUGAUCGGCCACACUGGGACUGAGACACGGCCCAGACUCCUACGGGAGGCAGCAGUAGGGAAUCUUCGGCAAUGGGCGAAAGCCUGACCGGGCAACGCCGCGUGAGCGAUGAAGGCCUUCGGGUCGUAAAGCUCUGUUGUUAAGGAAGAACAAGUACGAGAGUAACUGCUCGUACCUUGACGGUACUUAACGAGAAAGCCACGGCUAACUACGUGCCAGCAG